rnacentral:rRNA from 1 species
UACAGAGGGUGCGAACGUUGCUCGGAUUUACUGGGCGUAAAGCGCUUGUAGGCGGGCGAAUGUGUCGGGGGUGAAAUCCCUGAGCUUAACUCAGGAACUGCAUUCGAAACUAUUCGUCUUGAGGAAUUGAGAGGAGAACGGAAUUCCCGGUGUAGAGGUGAAAUUCGUAGAUAUCGGGAGGAACACCAGAUGCGAAGGCGGUUCUCUGGAAAUUAUCUGACGCUGAGAAGCGAAAGCGUGGGGAGCAAACAGG